UGGGCGGGCCGAGUCGGUUUGCGACAGCGGCGCGGGGUCCAGGUCCGAAGGUCCGAGGGGAGCCCCCCGCGCGGCUCCCGGCCCGUGCGCCCGCUCUCCGCCGGCCCGCGCCCCAGCCCCGGCACCGAGUCCCGCGCGGGUGUGGACGCGGCAGCCGCGGUUCCGAGCGCGGCCGGGACUCGUCAGCGUGCGGGCGGCCGGCCGGGGGCGCCGAGGUCUGGCCUGCGGGCGCGGGUUUCCCGGAAGGGCGGCCGAUCUGUGCGGGGCCGAGGCGGGAUUCUCCGCCCGGAGCGCGAGGGGAGCCGCGGCAGCUGCGGAGGAUGCGGCGGCGAGCGGGGCUCGGGCGGGGCCGCCUGGCCCCCCGCGCCUGAGCGCCCGCCGCCGGGACCGCCCGGGGUCGGCGAUGCGCGCCCGCUGAGCAGGCGGCGCGGGGAGCCCGGACCUGACCCUUCGGGAGGGAAUGCUGGCUCGGUGCUGAGUGACUUUGGGGACAGCGAAGAAGCCCCAACAUGGAGGACUUUUCUACCCGGACCUACGGCACCAGCGGUCUGGACAACCGACCGCUGUUCGGAGAGACGUCGGCCAAGGAUCGAAUCAUCAAUUUAGUUGUUGGCAUCUUAACAUCCUUAUUGAUUCUAGUAACGCUGAUCAGUGCUUUUGUUUUCCCUCAACCACCUCCAAAACCAUUGAAUAUAUUUUUUGCUGUCUGCAUCUCUUUGAGUAGUAUUACUGCCUGCAUACUUAUCUACUGGUAUCGACAAGGAGACUUAGAACCGAAAUUUAGAAAUCUAAUUUACUAUAUCUUAUUUUCUAUCACCAUGUUAUGUAUAUGUGCGAACCUGUACUUCCAUGAUGUGGGAAAGUGAGGCUGCCAAGGAGAAAAUACUUACCAGGUCUCUUCAAAGCUAUACAUUAGGACUGUGAAUAAAAGCUGGAUAAGGUGCCACUCCGGGGCAGCACUGAGGUUGCUGAUCUGCCUCCAAUUUUAACUAAAUCCCGCACCACGCCGGCCUCUCCCUGCCCUGAGCACCUCACUGCCCGAAGCCCUGUGGGGCUGUGCAGUGGAGAAGCUUUUGGUGCUGCCUGUUGGUAAAGGCCAAGCAAAGAGGACCAGCAACUGGUGGAAUGUAAAAGUCAAUAAAAGUAGAGUUUCAAAAUGACAAAGAUGCUCACAACUGGGCCCAGUUCAGGCUACUUUAAAAGACAAGGCUUUAAGAUUCUGAGAGACUAUUAAGAUUUUUGUCUAAACUUCAGAGUGUUAACUAAAGCAAAAAAGCUAUUUCAAACUGAGAAUUCAAAAUUGGUUUUAAAAUAUACUAAAAUCAUACACCUUAGAAUGAAGUUACAUUAGCCAGUCAUCCUUUACACAAAUUAUUAAAAAGCUUCUAAGUACAUAUAUUAUGCUGCUUUGAUAUUUUUGCAAUUGGCAGUAAAUAAAUUAGUGAAACAAAAAAUAUGCCAUAAGAUACCUUCAGGUAGCGUUCAAUAUUAUUCAUCAAAAUAUCAAUUUCUUCCUUGGACCACAUCCCCUGCUUCCAUUUAUGUCCUUUAAAAGAAAACAAGUAAUAUUAUAGAAAAUGUUAUUCCUUGAGAAGAGUACAUUACUAAAGAUUUGCUUUCUGAUUAAAUAUAUUAUCUAUGAAAAUAAAAUGUAGCUAAUUUAAUUUCUCAUUCAUCUGAAACUUGAAAGAUCCCUAGGUAAAGUUGCUUUUGAAACCUCUGAUUUUUAAGAAAGAAUACAUUCGACCCUACUAAAUAAAGAGAAUGGUAAGUAAAAGAUUUAAAAAAUGUGGCUUCCACUCAGUAACUUCUCUUACCCUGUCAGUAGUCUAGAUCAGCAGUCGCCAACUGGUGGUCCGAGGACCACUGGUGGUCUGUGAGGUCUGAAAGGUUGGCAACCGCUGGUCUAGAGCACCUAAAAAGACUUACAAGUAUUAGAAGAGCCCAACUGUGCUAAAAACUUGCUGAAAAAUUUCUCCAAUGAAAAAUAAACUUUAUGGGCAAAAUAACAUAUACAAAGAUUCUAGGGCAAGGUAAACAUAAUACAUUGGAUACCUACCAAGUGAACAGUAUAUUCUAAAUGUGUAUUACAGUGGUUAAAAACAAUUUACUUACUUUUGUUUCCUUUUCUUAGAGUGGCACAUCCACAACCCCCAUUCUCUUGUAGCAGCUUCCUAGCAAUCCUUAUGAGCAUAGCCACACUACAAACACCACGUGACAGUAAGCCUCUAAGCUACUUAUCAGACCAAAGUAAGUAGAUCUUUGAAAAUGCUUGAUUUCCUAGUCCCAUAAGCAGUAACUGUACUGUAUUGUUUUUUAAAUGCCACCGCUAUCCAUUUGCUCAAAAAUUAACAGGACAAGAUCUACUACAUUUCAGAAAAAUGAUCGAUUAUUGAAAAAUGGUGGUUUCAUUAGCUCAUUCAGAGUCAUUUAGUGCCAAAUUUAAUUCAAUGAGGAAAGUUCAAGUUUAAUUCAAUUAGAAAUAAGCCAGUCAGAAAAGAUUAAGAAUCGUAAGAUUUCACUCAUAGGUAGGAUAAAAAAGUGAACCUCAUAGACAUAGACAACAGUAUGAUGGUUACCAGAGGGAAAGGGUUGGGGGUGGAGUAAAGGGAGAAAAGGGCGAAAUAUAUGGUGAAGAACAAUCUGAGUGUGGGUGGUGGGCACACAAAGCAAUAUACAGAUCACAUAUCAUAGAAAUGUACACUUGAAAACUAUAUGAUCUUAUUAACCAAUGUCAGCCCAAUAAAUUUAAUAAAAAUAAAAAGAAAAGCUCAAUUACUGUAACUACUUAAUCACAAUUCUGAAGGUCCAACUCAGAAUCCUAAUGAUUAUAAGUUCUUUUUAUCUCCAUUUUUUCCAGCAGGCACUAAAAUUCACAGUACAUAUAUCUUACCUUUGUUAGUCAGAGAAUCCUUAUCUUCUUUAGUUGUGAACCAUGCUUGGCUAACUGCUGAAACUUCCUCAUUACCCAAGGGAGAUAUUUCAUCUAGUUGCUCAUUCUGUAGAAUCUUGAAAAGGUAAAAGUAUACAUUUGUAUACUUAUAUAUUUAAAUUAGUACAUACAUACAAAAUGGAAAUGCUGGGGUUGAGUUAUAAUUUUUAAUGUCCUCACAGGUAGUUUGCUAUGUAAAUAUUUAGUCAUCUGUAAUGUAAUCUGUUAAAUUUAAAGGAUUAACAGGCUAAAUUAAAAGACAUUUUACAAAA